GGGGGAAAAAUUAAUAAUUUAAAAAUAUGAAAAAAAAUUUUAAUAUAAAAUAUUUAAUGGGGGUUAAAGUAUAUUUAUAGAAAAAAUUAUAAAAUUUAUAGUGAAAUAGUAUUGUGGAAGAAAUUUGAAAAUAUUGAAAUAAUAAUUUAUAUAAAAGUAAAUUUAAUUUAUUGUAUCUUGUGUAUCAGAGUUUAUUAAAAAAAAUAAUUUAGUUUAAUUUAUUUCGAAUUUCAAAGAGUUAAUUAAUUAAAAAAGUUAAUAUUGCAUAAUUAUUUUUAAUAAUUAAUUAGAAAUGAAAAGUUAAUCGUUUUGAAAUAUAUCUAAUUUUUUUAGAAAAAAAUUUAAUUUUAAAUUAAUUUUUUUAAUAAAUUAAUUAAUUAAUUUAUUAAAAAUUUAAUUUUAUAUUUUAAGGGAUAAGCUUUAAAUUAAAUUUUUAUAAUAAAAAUAAAAUAAUUGAAAUUUUUAAGAUUUAUAUUUUUUAUAAAUUAUAAUUUUUUAUAAAUAAUUUCAUUUAAUUAAAAUUUUUUUUUAAUUUAAUUUUUUAUAAAAAAAUAUUUUUUAAUAAAUAAAAAAUAGUUAUAAUGAUAAAAUUAGUAUAUAAUUAAUAAAUAAAUUAAAAAUUAUUAAAAUUAAUAAAAAGGAAUUCAGCAAAAAU
rnacentral:rRNA from 1 species